rnacentral:rRNA from 1 species
CAGCAGCCGCGGUAAUACGAAGGGUGCAAGCGUUAAUCGGAAUUACUGGGCGUAAAGGGUGCGUAGGCGGUUUCUUAAGUCUGAUGUGAAAGCCCCGAGCUUAACUUGGGAACUGCAUUUGAAACUGGCAAGCUAGAGUCUUGUAGAGGGGGGUAGAAUUCCAGGUGUAGCGGUGAAAUGCGUAGAGAUCUGGAGGAAUACCGGUGGCGAAGGCGGCCCCCUGGACAAAGACUGACGCUCAGGUGCGAAAGCGUGGGGAGCAAACAGGAUUAGAUACCCGGGUAGUCCCUGUCUCUUAUAC